UACAGUGGGGGCAAGCGUUAUUCGGAAUUAUUGGGCGUAAAGGGCGCGUAGGCGGCUUUGCAAGUGACGGGUGAAAUCCCUCGGCUUAACCGAGGAACUGCCUGUCAGACUGUGAGGCUUGAGACCGGGAGAGGUGAGUGGAAUUCCCAGUGUAGCGGUGAAAUGCGUAGAUAUUGGGAGGAACACCAGUGGCGAAGGCGGCUCACUGGACCGGAACUGACGCUGAGGCGCGAAAGCCAGGGGAGCAAACGGG
rnacentral:rRNA from 1 species